rnacentral:sRNA from 1 species
AUGGCUGUCGUCAGCUCGUGUCGUGAGAUGUUGGGUUAAGUCCCGCAACGAGCGCAACCCUUGUCCCUAGUUGCUACGCAAGGGCACUCUAGGGAGACUGCCGGUGACAAACCGGAGGAAGGUGGGGAUGACGUCAAGUCCUCAUGGCCCUUAUGGGUAGGGCUUCACACGUCAUACAAUGGCCGGUACAGAGGGUUGCCAAAGCGCGAGCUGGAGCCAAUCCCAGAAAGCCGGUCGUAGUCCGGAUUGCAGUCUGCAACUCGACUGCAUGAAGUCGGAAUCGCUAGUAAUCGCGGAUCAGCAUGUCGCGGUGAAUACGUUCCCGGGUCUUGUACACACCGCCCGUCACACCAUGGGAGCGGGAUGUACCAGAAGUAGGUAGGCUAACCGCAAGGGGGCCGCUUACCACGGUGCGUUUCGUGACUGGGGUGAAGUCGUAACAAGGUAGCCGUAUCGGAAGGUGCGGCUGGAUCACCUCCUUUCUAGAGACAACCCAUGUCUUCAAGUGUCCACUCUUAUCGGCUGUUGCCGCUGAUAGCUCAUGGCGGCGAGCGGAUGCCGAAUACGGGCCUGUAGCUCAGUUGGUUAGAGCACCGUCUUGAUAAGGCGGGGGUCGAUGGUUCGAAUCCAUCCAGACCCACCAUCAAAGACGGCUCGGGAGCCCAUCUCGGCAGAGGAGCCCAAUAUGCACGAGGGCCAAGCAGCAAAGGGUGUCGAAGCGAGAGGGGCUGUAGCUCAGUUGGGAGAGCACCUGCUUUGCAAGCAGGGGGUCGUCGGUUCGAUCCCGUCCAGCUCCACCACUUAGGAAGGCGGAGGCCAGAAUCAGCAAAUCCAGCGCAGAGGGCAGAAGUAAACGUGAAGGUUUACUUCUGAUCUUUGGAUCGGUGCCGAGAAUUUCGGUUGUUCUUUAAAAAAAUGGAAGAAGUAAGGCGCACACGACGGAACAAUGUCGUGUGUUGGGUUAGAUUGUAUCGAACCAUUCUCUCCUAGUCCGAGAGAGUGGAAAUCGCAAACACCUAUGACGCAAAGCAGCAGUGCUUAGUGUUAUGGGGUCAAGCGACUAAGUGCAUGUGGUGGAUGCCUUGGCGAUCACAGGCGAUGAAGGACGUGGCAGCCUGCGAAAAGCUCCGGGGAGCUGGCAAACAAGCAUUGAUCCGGAGAUGUCCGAAUGGGGAAACCCGG